UACGUAGGGGGCAAGCGUUGUCCGGAAUCAUUGGGCGUAAAGCGCGUGUAGGCGGUUCGGUAGGUCGGCUGUGAAAGUCCAGGGCUCAACCCUGGGAUGCCGGUCGAUACUGCCGGACUAGAGUUCGGAAGAGGCGAGUGGAAUUCCCGGUGUAGCGGUGAAAUGCGCAGAUAUCGGGAGGAACACCAAUGGCGAAGGCAGCUCGCUGGGACGUUACUGACGCUGAGACGCGAAAGCGUGGGAGCA
rnacentral:rRNA from 1 species